GGUCAGUGAUGAGUAGUAAAAGGUCUGAUUACCCACAAUCCCCUCCUCCUGCCCUCUGGCUCCCAGCAGCCCCUGCUCUCUGCUGCCAUCACGCUCUAGUGGUACAGUGGUGGUCCCAGGAGCUGCUGACAGACAGGAUGUGACAUCACAGUGUGAGUCUGUGCAGAGAUCCUACAGGCUCAAUGUGAUGAUGAUUGACAUCCAACAGAACCAAUCAACAAGGAGCAUCAGGCAGGGGAGGUGGAGGGAGCUGAUCUCAAGUUUUCAAGCUGAGACC